rnacentral:sRNA from 1 species
UUAAGAACAGAAAAGAAAACAAAGUU